rnacentral:lncRNA from 1 species
GUGACGACCCCUUUCUGCAGCCAUAUCAGCGAGCACACGGCGGCAUCCUUCAGUCGUUGGGCGGUUUUCCUCCACCGGCGGCCUUCCCGCCCUCCGCCGAUCUGGAACAGCAGGGGAGCCGCCUUCCAGUCCUUCAGCCGCUGGAUCCAGUAGUCCUCCACUCGGAACUCGGCCUUCCAGCUCCAUCCCUUGCUGUCUGUGCUCCUGAAUCUGAUCGCGUUGAACCAUCGGCAGGCCGGCGCGACGGUCCCGAGCAGAAUACCCACCGUCUGGGCGGAGACGAUCACGCCGGACGACCACCCGUAGUCUGACUCCCCGCGGCAGACCCGCAGGCUCGACUCCCAG